rnacentral:rRNA from 1 species
AGCGGGGGAUAACUAUUGGAAACGAUAGCUAAUACCGCAUAACAGUAGAUGUUGCAUGACAUUUGCUUAAAAGGUGCAAUUGCAUCACUACCAGAUGGACCUGCGUUGUAUUAGCUAGUUGGUGGGGUAACGGCUCACCAAGGCGACGAUACAUAGCCGACCUGAGAGGGUGAUCGGCCACACUGGGACUGAGACACGGCCCAGACUCCUACGGGAGGCAGCAGUAGGGAAUCUUCGGCAAUGGACGGAAGUCUGACCGAGCAACGCCGCGUGAGUGAAGAAGGUUUUCGGAUCGUAAAGCUCUGUUGUAAGAGAAGAACGAGUGUGAGAGUGGAAAGUUCACACUGUGACGGUAUCUUACCAGAAAGGGACGGCUAACUACGUGCCAGCAGCCGCGGUAAUACGUAGGUCCCGAGCGUUGUCCGGAUUUAUUGGGCGUAAAGCGAGCGCAGGCGGUUAGAUAAGUCUGAAGUUAAAGGCUGUGGCUUAACCAUAGUACGCUUUGGAAACUGUUUAACUUGAGUGCAAGAGGGGAGAGUGGAAUUCCAUGUGUAGCGGUGAAAUGCGUAGAUAUAUGGAGGAACACCGGUGGCGAAAGCGGCUCUCUGG